rnacentral:tRNA from 1 species
GAAUAAAUCUAAAAAUUUAGAAUUUAAUUUCGACUUAAAAUUAUGGUUACUAAAACACCCUAUUCA